rnacentral:rRNA from 1 species
GAAUAUUGCGCAAUGGGGGAAACCCUGACGCAGCGACGCCGCGUGGAUGAUGAAGGCCUUCGGGUCGUAAAAUCCUGUCAGAUGGAAAGAAAUGCCAUAUGCCUAAUAUGUGUAUGGUUUGACGGUACCAUCAAAGGAAGCACCGGCUAACUCCGUGCCCGCAGCCGCGGUAAUACGGAGGGUGCAAGCGUUGUUCGGAAUUACUGGGCGUAAAGCGCGCGUAGGCGGUCUUUUAAGUCAGAUGUGAAAGUCCACGGCUCAACCGUGGAAGUGCAUUUGAUACUGGGAGACUUGAGUACUGGAGGGGAUGGUGGAAUUCCCGGUGUAGAGGUGAAAUUCGUAGAUAUCGGGAGGAAUACCGGUGGCGAAGGCGACCAUCUGGCCAGAUACUGACGCUGAGGUGCGAAAGCGUGGGGAGCAAACAGG